GGACUACGAGGGUAUCUAAUCCGGUUUGCUCCCCCAGCUUUCGUCCCUCACUGUCGGAGCCGUUCUGGUGAGACGCCUUCGCCACAGGUGGUCCCCCAAGGAUUACAGGAUUUCACUCCUACCCCUGGAGUACCUCUCACCUCUUCCGGUCCCUAGAUUGCCAGUAUCCCUUGAACGCCUAUCGGUUAAGCCGGUAGAUUUCCCAAGAGACUUAACAAUCCAGCUACGGACGCUUUAAGCCCAGUAAUAGUGGCCACCACUCGAGCCGCCGGUAUUACCGCGGCGGCUGGCACCGGUCUUGCCCGGCCCUUUCUCCACCUGCUUUUUACACAGAUUAACAGCCCGAAUUUACGGGCACUCGGGGUUCCCUUAUCACGAUUUCUCGCAUUGUAAAGUUUUCGCGCCUGCUGCCCCCCAUAGG
rnacentral:rRNA from 1 species